UUUAAGGGGUUAAAUUUAACUUUAGCCUAACGUUAGAUAUCGGUGUCCAUCCAAGUAGUAUGCAUAGUUAUUUUACUUGUAGAUGUGUAUUUUGGGAAAAUACGUUUAUAAUAAAUUCAAUAGCAAUAUGGGAUGUAUAAGUAAAUAAAGUUGUGCUUUCAGAAAACAUCAAAACUAACUUACAAAACAAGUUUCAUGUACAUGUGACUGCGUUCACAAAGUUGCACAACAUUAGUAAUCUAUUUGUUGAAAUCGCAGGCACUAGCCUUAUGUUUUAUUUGUAAUGUUUAUUGUCGGACUAUUUGCAAGUGCUUGUGUAAUUUCUUCCCACAUUAUGUCAACCCAAUUAAUUAAGCCCUAAGAGAAAAUAAAAGACAUUCAACCCUCAAAGGGGAUCGGGAGGGGGUGUUUGCGAUAGCGCUGGAUCCGCCAUCGGUGUCAGUUUUAUCAAAAUGAAAGUAUAAACUUCCGCUCGGCAUGGAAGGUGAAUGCAAGUCGCAAAGCAGUAACUAAGACGUGGAUAUUCUGUUGGACGACUGUUGGUUACUGUUAGUUUCCGCGGAGGUUUAAAUGGGGAGACUGCGUGAAGUGUCCGGUUCCACAGCCCUGGUUUUGGCGGGAGUUACAUUUGUUCUAGGAUUUUAUCUGGGAUACAAGGCAAAAGCACUUCGGUUGCGAUAUCUGCAAAAUAAAAGGGACCGUCUUAUGAAUAAACUGAAUAAGACGACAGAAGAUAUUCAUUAUACAAUGAAUAACAUUUGAAUUAGAAAUACUUACCACUAUUCAUGUACGCUUUAAUUUGUUGUGGAAUCCGUGUGUAAAUGAUAGUUCCAUCUUUUGUUAUACCUGAACAUGUAUACUCAUCUCGUGCAUGUAACUGUACCAUUUGCCGUGCCAAAUCUUUUCUUUUAUAUGUUUAUGACAUAAUAUUAAACAAAUGACAAAUAUACAGUAGAUAUAAUUAUUGUACAAUAAAGGUUAAUAAACUUAUUUCUACAAAACA